UACAGAGGGUGCAAGCGUUGUUCGGAAUUAUUGGGCGUAAAGCGUGCGCAGGCGGUUUGCUAAGUCAGGUGUGAAAUCCCCGAGCUUAACUUGGGAACUGCGCUUGUAACUGGCAAGCUAGAGUGUGGCAGAGGGGGGUGGAAUUCCACGUGUAGCAGUGAAAUGCGUAGAGAUGUGGAGGAACACCGAUGGCGAAGGCAGCCCCCUGGGCUAACACUGACGCUCAUGCACGAAAGCGUGGGGAGCAAACAGG
rnacentral:rRNA from 1 species